CGGUACAGAGGGAUGCCACCCCGCGAGGGGGAGCGGAUCCCGGAAAGCCGGCCCCAGUUCGGAUUGGGGGCUGCAACCCGCCCCCAUGAAGUCGGAGUUGCUAGUAAUCGCGGAUCAGCAUGCCGCGGUGAAUGCGUUCCCGGGCCUUGUACACACCGCCCGUCACACCACCCGAGUCGUCUGCACCCGAAGUCGCCGGCCCAACCGAGAGGGGGGAGGCGCCGAAGGUGUGGAGGGUGAGGGGGGUGAAGUCGUAACAAGGUAGCCGUACCGGAAGGUGCGGCUGGAUCACCUCCUUU
rnacentral:rRNA from 1 species